GACGAACCGUCCUAACGUUGUUCGGAAUUACUGGGCGUAAAGCGCGCGUAGGCGGAUCGCUAAGUCAGGGGUGAAAUCCCAGGGCUCAACCCUGGAACUGCCUUUGAUACUGACGAUCUGGAGAUCGGGAGAGGUUGGUGGAAUUCCGAGUGUAGAGGUGAAAUUCGUAGAUAUUCGGAGGAACACCAGAAGCGAAGGCGGCCAACUGGCCCGAUACUGACGCUGAGGCGCGAAAGCGUGGGGAGCAAACAGG
rnacentral:rRNA from 1 species